GAAUCCCUCACUUGUAAACUAGAAAAAUUAAGAUUUGGCAAGGGUUGUCUGAAAAUAACUAGCAAACAUCAAAGUUUCCCCUUUCUAUGCUGGUGUUUUUCUGGGCCCAGCUUCAAUAUUUUCACAGGCUACUGCACGGAAAAGGUGUUGCAGGCCUCCGCGUUGCUGGCAAGGAAAGGCUAAGAAAUACCAGCAACGAUUUAUAGGAAGCAAGGUUGCCAACAUCCCAAAGAGUGCACGUUUAACAGCCAGCAACUGCACAUUCCCAUAAAUCCCCAAAACUCAGCAUCAGGCCUUCCCUUAAUCUGCUGCGGUGUGAGGGAAAGGGAAGGCAGAAUUUUCUAACUCGAUUUUCCACUCGGAUCGGCUUUCACAGGGGUGACCGUGAGUUAAUCUUACGAGGCCUUCAGCGAUCUUAAUAGAAAUGGAAUCCAGCCUUAAAACCACAGGGUAGGGCUCUCCUCACCUUUGUUAAGUCAAGGAAUGCGGGCGCUAAGAGGGGCUUUGGCUCAGGCUCAAACAAGCCCCACAGGUCCAGGAGAAACACAGGCUUUGGCGGCCCUGGUUCUCAUUUUUGCCUGGCCUCUCCGUGACCUCCGAAGGGCUCAGAGAGUGCGCCUGUGAGCUGAUGAGGUGGGUUUGUGUACUUACGUGGCUGUCCGCAAGGGUCAACAUACCUCCAGAGAUGGCCCAGGAGCCACCCCUUGAUAGAUUGCCCCUGGUGCCUCAGACACACAGCUUGCACACAAGACCACGACCUCACGAAUCACAGAAUCGGGGCCCCUGCUGGGAGAGCAGUAUUUCAUGGUGGAAAGAUUGCAGACAUUAGGUCUGGGAACCAGAUUCCCGACCAUCUCUGGCUCCUUCUGGCUUCAUGGGCAAGACCUUCAGUCAUGCUGAGGUCUCCACCCUCCAACUAGGGGAAACCACAGGCACUUUGCAGGGUUAUCGAAGGGCAACAUGGACGCGACGUGAACGAGACAAACUCAUACGCAGAUCGUUGCGAUGUACGUUGAGUGCCAUGACUAAGUUCUGCCCAGGGCAUUGCAGGAGCAUAGAGAACACCUGGUCCGUCAGAAAGUAACUCCUGAGCUGUCUUAAAGGUUGAAUGAGAGGGAACCAGCGGAAAAGGAAAGGAAAGAACAUUCCAGAAAAAGAGGACUAGACGGGACUCCACCGGGGGCUGUCCCUUUCGUGCAAUACAAGAACAGAUCUCCCCAGCAGAGCCGACUCAGCACCUCAGAUUCCUCCUUCAGACGAUGGAAAUCGCUCGGUGUGCCCCCCUCCUAUGACGACAGGAUGAGCGGAUCAAUACAAAAGCACUCAGAAUAGCUCCCGGUGCAUAGCGUUACGUAUGUGUUAACAUUCUUCUUCUUCUCCCGAGUACUCAAGAAGGGAACAUAGCACGCAGUAUAUACCAAACAAAAUCGCAGCGGGUUUGCCCAUUUACCUGGCGCACGGAGAACACGGUGAAGGGUAUGGCUCUGCAGAAAGACAAGGCCCGUCCUCACCGCUCGCGACACUUGCCUCGUUCCCGCUCGACGUUCGCUGGAAUCCGCCGCCCCCUCGCUUCCCCUGGGAGUUGCUCCUUGUCACUGAAAGCACAGAGACGAAGGAUCCAAGCUUGGCGUCGGGUGAUCUCCAUUCAGGUCCCGGCUCCGCCCGGGGUUUUCCGGAUUCUGUGCCUCCUGGGGGCGGGGGGGCCCCCCGUGUAAAGCGACUGACGGCCACGGCCACAAUAUUUAAACACAUCCUGCGACUCACCUUCCAAAUCCCGCAGUAACGUUUCCUAAUUAAUCACCCUGUGUACUGCAUUCUAAAUUAAUUAAAUUAAAAGUCAUUAAAUCCAG